rnacentral:rRNA from 1 species
CGACGAACCAGGCUUCGGCCUGGGGCAAAGCCGCGAACGGGUGAGUAACACGUGGGUAAUCUGCCCCAAUGACCGGGACAACCCGAGGAAACUCGGGCUAAUACCGGAUGUGGUGCACAGGCAUAGGCCUGUGUACUAAAGGUAGCUUCGGCUUCUGCAUUGGGAGGGGCCCGCGGCCCAUUAGCUUGUUGGUGGGGUCAAGGCCUACCAAGGCAACGAUGGGUAGCUGGUCUGAGAGGACGAUCAGCCACACUGGGACUGAGACACGGCCUAGACUCC